ACCCACGCGGCGCAGCUCCCAAAGUUGCAGACAGCCCGGCGAACCGCGCAAUGCGCUUCUUCUGCCUGCAGCAGAGAAAAGGAAAGAAAACUCCGCAGGGGCUCCGUUGGCUUCUCCACGAGUGACAACCAUGUUUUCCCAGAUAGAAGACCGGAGCCCUGCUCCUUUGCGAUCCGCCGAGGGCUGCAGAGAGCAUCCUCAUCCAUUUGGGCACCCCUGCCCAGGAAGAGCCCGGCCAUCCCUUUCCGGACUGGAUCCUUAAGAGGUGAAUUUUCUUCCGUGGAUUCCGAUUUGCUCCGUCUGACCAGCCUAGGCAAUCCAGCAUCGCGUGGUACCAGUGCCGCUGGGCACACUGGCUUCACGCCGGCUCCGCCUCACCAGCAAGCGCAUUCCCAGUGUCUGACAAUUAUUCCCAC
rnacentral:lncRNA from 1 species